UGAGUACGAGAUGCUACGGCAUCGAAGCAGUCUAUGUCAUACUUCCAAGAAAAGCUUGCACUGUCAUAAACAAAGAAUGCCUGUACCAUAACCGACACAGGUGGGUAGGUAGAGUAUACUAAGGGGCGCGAGAUAACUCUCUCUAAGGAACUCGGCAAAAUGACUCCGUAACUUCGGGAGAAGGAGUGCCUUAUUUCUAAGGUUGCAAUAACAAGAUCCAAGCAACUGUUUACCAAAAACACAGGUAUCCGCUAAGUCGUAAGACGAUGUAUGGGGGCUGACGCCUGCCCAGUGCCAGAAGGUUAAAGAAGUUGGUUAGCAUUAGCGAAGCUGAUAACUGAAGCCCUGGUGAACGGCGGCCGUAACCAUAACGGUCCUAAGGUAGCGAAAUUCCUUGUCGGGUAAGUUCCGACCCGCACGAAAGGCGUAAUGAUUUGGAUACUGUCUCGGAGAGGGGCUCGGUGAAAUAGACUUGUCUGUGAAGAUGCGGACUACCUGCACCUGGACAGAAGGACCCUAUGAAGCUUUACUGUAACUUGAGAUUGAAAUUGGACUUUAUUUGCGCAGUAUAGGUGGGAGGCGUUGAGAAUAAUCUUGCGGGAUUGUUGGAGCCAUCAGUGAGAUACCACUCUUGUAAUGUUAGAUUUCUAACUUUGUAUCAUUAUCUGGUCAAAGAACAGUUUCAGGCGGGCAGUUUGACUGGGGCGGUCGCCUCCCAAAGGGUAACGGAGGCGCACAAAGGUUUCCUCUGAACGGGUAGAAAUCGUAUCUAGAGUGUAAAGGCAUAAGGAAGCUUGACUGUGAGACCUACAAGUCGAGCAGGGACGAAAGUCGGUCUUAGUGAUCUGACGGUGCUGAGUGGAAAGGCCGUCACUCAACGGAUAAAAGUUACUCUAAGGAUAACAGGCUGAUCUCCCCCAAGAGUUCACAUCGACGGGGAGGUUUGGCACCUCGAUGUCGGCUCAUCGCAUCCUGGGGCGGUAGUCCGUCCCAAGGGUUGGGCUGUUCGCCCAUGAAAGCGGUACGCGAGCUGGGUUCAGAACGUCGUGAGACAGUUCGGUCCAUAUCCGGUGUAGGCGUUAGAAUAUUGAGAGGAGCCUUCUCUAGUACGAGAGGACCGAGAAUGACAUACCUCUGGUGUACCAGCUAUCGUGCCAACGGUAAACGCUGGGUAGCUAUGUAUGGAGUGGAUAACCGCUGAAAGCAUCUAAGUGGGAAGCCCACCUCAAGAUAAG
rnacentral:rRNA from 1 species